rnacentral:rRNA from 1 species
GGGGGGGGCGGGGGGGGGGGCGGGGGCGGGGGGGGCGAGCGGGGGGGCGGGGGGCGGGCUGCGCUGAUGUUGGCGGCGGACGGGGGAGUAACACGUGGAUGACCUACCUAUGAGACUGGGAUAACUUCGGGAAACCGGAGCUCAUACCGGAUCAUAUGUUGAACCGCAUGGUUCAAAAGUGACAGACGGUCUUGCUGUCCCUUAUAGAUGGAUCCGCGCGGCAUUAGCUAGUUGGUAAGGUAACGGCUUACCAAGGCAACGAUGCAUAGCCGACCUGAGAGGGUGAUCGGCCACACUGGAACUGAGACACGGUCCAGACUCCUACGGGAGGCAGCAGUAGGGAAUCUUCCGCAAUGGGCGAAAGCCUGACGGAGCAACGCCGCGUGAGUGAUGAAGGUCUUCGGAUCGUAAAACUCUGUUAUUAGGGAAGAACAUAUGUGUAAGUAACUGUGCACAUCUUGACGGUACCUAAUCAGAAAGCCACGGCUAACUACGUG